CCGUUUUAUCGCCCCGAGGAUCAUACCGACACAGCUCUACCUUACCAAAAUGGCCCUGCAUGAGGAACAUGUUAGAAAUGUGGAAGAACAGAGACUAUUAUGUUGCUGUGGGGCCCAGCUGAGGGGCAGAUCAGUGGUAAUGCACCUAGUGAACUUCCUCAUGAACAUCAGAGCUGAGUAAACAACUCUCUCUCUCUGUCUCUCUCUCUUUGCACUGUGUACGAGGCUGCUGUUAGGUGAGAUACAAAAUAUGCAAAACAUUCAUAUCAUAUUACAACUGUUAACAACUGCCUUGAAUUCUUCAACCUGUACUUGCCCUUUAACCUGUUCUGCAACAUACAGUCUGUUGGGAAAGACCCAAAAGGCAGAACAGCUUGUUUCUAUGACAAUAAAGAACCAAAAACUGCAGAACCAAAACAA